rnacentral:rRNA from 1 species
UACGUAGGGGGCUAGCGUUGUCCGGAAUCAUUGGGCGUAAAGCGCGUGUAGGCGGCCCGGUAAGUCCGCUGUAAAAGUCGGGGGCUCAACCCUCGAAAGCCGGUGGAUACUGUCGGGCUAGAGUACGGAAGAGGCGAGUGGAAUUCCUGGCGUAGCGGUGAAAUGCGCAGGAUAUCGUAAGGAAGACCAGUGGCGAAGGCGGGUCU